UGGGUAACCUGCCUCAAAGAGGGGAAUAGCCUCCCGAAAGGGAGAUUAAUACCGCAUAAUAUGUUUUGGUCACAUGGCCUUAUCAUCAAAGGAUUUUCUUCGGAAAUUCCACUUUGAGAUGGACCCGCGGUGCAUUAGCUAGUUGGUGAGGUAACGGCUCACCAAGGCAACGAUGCGUAGCCGACCUGAGAGGGUGAUCGGCCUCAUUGGAACUGAGACACGGUCCAGACCUCUACGGGA
rnacentral:rRNA from 1 species